rnacentral:rRNA from 1 species
GAACGCUGGCGGCGUGCCUAAUACAUGCAAGUAGAACGCUGAAGGAGGAGCUUGCUUCUCUGGAUGAGUUGCGAACGGGUGAGUAACGCGUAGGUAACCUGCCUGGUAGCGGGGGAUAACUAUUGGAAACGAUAGCUAAUACCGCAUAAUAGUAGUUGUUGCAUGACAACUGUUUGAAAAGGUGCAAUUGCAUCACUACCAGAUGGACCUGCGUUGUAUUAGCUAGUUGGUGGGGUAACGGCUCACCAAGGCGACGAUACAUAGCCGACCUGAGAGGGUGAUCGGCCACACUGGGACUGAGACACGGCCCAGACUCCUACGGGAGGCAGCAGUAGGGAAUCUUCGGCAAUGGACGGAAGUCUGACCGAGCAACGCCGCGUGAGUGAAGAAGGUUUUCGGAUCGUAAAGCUCUGUUGUAAGAGAAGAACGAGUGUGAGAGUGGAAAGUUCACACUGUGACGGUAUCUUACCAGAAAGGGACGGCUAACUACGUG